rnacentral:lncRNA from 10 species
GGGGUGGAGACUGGGACAUGGGAAAAUCAUCUAGGGAAGGAUACCUUUACUGGAUCAGCAGCCUUCAGUUGGAGGAACACAGCCAGCUCCUGGUGACCCCACAGGGAGAGAGCGGGAGCACUAAGGAUUCCAAACUCAGUCCUCCUGAUCUUCAUCAGUAUUCGUCAUUGGCCAAACAAAUAACUGAAAUUCAGAGGGCAAGAGAGCUCAUUGUUAUCUAAACAGGUCAGCAUGGCAGACAGCGAGGCGAAGAGGGAAGGAAGGUGGAUUUGGAAGAACAAACGGGAGUGACCUAGUGCAGCCCUGAUAAACCCGUGAGGAAACAGACGCACACAGAGG